rnacentral:rRNA from 1 species
GACGUAGGGUGCAAGCGUUGUCCGGAUUUAUUGGGCGUAAAGAGCUCGUAGGCGGUUCGUCGCGUCGGCUGUGAAAACCCGGAGCUCAACUCCGGGCCUGCAGUCGAUACGGGCGGACUUGAGUGUUGCAGGGGAGACUGGAAUUCCUGGUGUAGCGGUGAAAUGCGCAGAUAUCAGGAGGAACACCGGUGGCGAAGGCGGCUAUCUGGACAGAGUCUGACGCUGAGGCGCGAAAGCUAGGGGAGCAAACAGG